GCACACUUGCCGCUACAGCCCUUCUGUCAGCCCUUUAGCUUCGAUGGGGCGCUGGUGGCCGCCUCCCCCUAGGUUGUGGAUGAGUCUUGGCCUAGGGUUCAGGGCCCUCCGGCCGCGGGAGGAUCUCCCGCCAAGCUUGUUGCUUUUCCAAGUUAGUGCCUGGCGUGUGUGUGGGCUGCAUAGGGGCACCCCUCGAGGCCCCCUUCUCUUCUCCCGCCUGGACUGCGUUCACGUUUCUAACAUUUCUCAGCCCCUUCUCCCCACAUCUGGCCUUGGCUUACAUAGAGUAAGUUUGCUGUGAGCACUUGCCUCGAACUGUCGGUCAAGAGGUGUGAGCAACAAGGCUUGCAGAGGAACAAGAUUAAGACUGGACCUCUGUGACCUGAGUUUAGCACACCUUUUCUUCCCCAUCAUCCAAGUUUGCGAAUUUCGGGCUCUUUCUCGCACUGGAGUCCCAGCAACCCCAGAGAUUACUAAAGAUGCAACCAUAAAAGCAGUAUAUUGCUUUAACCUUAGGCAAGUUAGAUAACUUCCCUAAGCCUCAGUGUCCUCAUCUGCAAAUUAGGAUUGCUUGUGAUACAACGUCAUAACGUUUCUAUGAGUUAAUUCAUGCAAAGUUUAUGGCCUUAUUAUGAGGAGUCAAUAAAUGUUAGGCAUUAUUAUAAGUUUAUUCCAUUGUAGCAGUUCAUUGACAUGGCACGUACAUAUUCGCCAAGCCUUGUCUUUUGACCAACUCCUUGAGGACAUGAGCCACGACUGAUUUCUCCAGAACUGUCUUUGCACUUAGCAGAGUGGAAAGACCAAGUGGAAGCUCAAUAGCAUUUUAUUUGAUUAAGGCCUGACCAAGUUCUGAGAAUGUGAUGUUAGUUUUGAACCAAAGCAAAGCACACAAAAAUUAAAUGAGAUCUUAGCUUCCUUAGCAAAUACAGUAAGGUAAUGAACAGUGAAGAUGCAGUUCAAAGUUUGUCCAUAAAAUCAUUUGCCCUUUCAUGGUAUUCUUUUAACUCUGAACUUUUUUUUUUCCUGUAAAUAUUAUAAUUUUAGUCAAAAUCAGUUAAGGAGUAAGAUACCAAGUUAGACUAUUCAAUUACACUGGAGAAAUUAACUUAUUGCUAGUUGGUAUUUCAACACAUUUUAAGAAGUUGGAUUGGGGGGAAAUUCAAGUACUGUAACUAAAGUCCCAUAACUAGUGAUAAUUUAGCAUAUAGCAGCUGUUGUACCUUUAACUUACACAAUGUGAAAAAAACUAGCAUUCCAAUUGAGUCUGCUUUUCCACUUUUGCCCAUUGCGAUUGGGUCUGCUUUUCCACUUUUGCCCUUCCACAGGGCACAUGAAAUGGAAAAACUGCAUUGGCAACUUUGCCGGUGGUCAUAUGACUGACUCUUGGCUGGUCUCACUUUGUUGCUCUUGGCUGAGGAAGACACAUUUUAAAUGUUGCAUGCUAUGUGACUAAGUCUCCUGAGAAAAUCACCCUAAUUACUGUAUGGUCAAAACACACUGUACUGUAUUUUUGAUGACUGUGACUUCAUUUUAUACUUUUUAAAUAAUGUGCAAGUCUCUUCAACUUGAAUAAAUUAGAUUACAAAUUACAAAAAAAGUUCUUAUGUGCUGAUUUCACUUCUAGUUACACAAAGGCACUUCAAUUUUAAUUGGUGUGCAAAAUUUUACUUCUUUUAAAUAUCUGAACUUUUCCGAACUAGUAAGGAUAUUUCCCACUUGCUUUGAAAGGCAGUUUCUGGCAAAUAUGUUAUAUUCUGGAAACCUUUCUUUGUGGAAUCUUACAGUUUAACUUCCACACUUUUAAAAACUGGGAGAAUUGGAUUCAAAGCCU
rnacentral:lncRNA from 1 species